GCUGCUUAGUUCAUUUUUUUAACUAUUAAAGGAAUAGUUCUCCCAAGAAUGAAAAUGUGCUAAAAUUUUACUCCCCCUUCAGGCCAUGUAGAUGGGUAUGUUUCUUCAU